AUGUUGUUUCCUUUGACUUCCCCAAUUCCAAAUGUCCGAAACUGGAGUAUCGAGGGAGUAAUUUCUUAUGCAAAAAUUGAAGAAAAAAAGCCAAUGGAGCAAAAGCACGUUGAAAGAAGAAUGGCUUUCUUAAAGUUACAGGCUAAUACGGCAUUCAAGCAGGAGUAUAAGUUGGCAUCAAAGUUGUAUGGUUUGGCAAUAGAUCAUGCAGAGAGUGCAACACUGUAUGCAAACAGGAGUCUUUGUAAACUGCUCAUGGGUGAUGGUGAAGGUGCUUUGUCAGAUGCUCUCAGGUGCAGAAUGCUGCGGCCUGAUUGUGCAAAAGCUUGCUACCGUCAAGCUACAGCUCACAUGCUACUCAAGGAGUAUAAACAAGCCUGUCAUGCUCUCUUGGAUGCACAAAAGCUGGAUCCUGGGAAUGCUGAAAUUGAGCGUGAACUGCGGAAGGCUAGGGAACUCAUGAAGAAUCAUCCUGCUGAAGGCGAGCAGUGA
rnacentral:rRNA from 1 species